GACCAGCAUUUGUACUGCUAUUAAAGUAGGCCAAGGCCAUGAACAUGGAUGGACCUGCGGUGCAUUAGCUAGUUGGUGAGGUAACGGCCCACCAAGGCGACGAUGCAUAGCCGGCCUGAGAGGGCGGACGGCCACAUUGGGACUGAGACACGGCCCAAACUCCUACGGGAGGCAGCAUG
rnacentral:rRNA from 1 species